CAGUAGCCGCGGGAAAACGGAGGGUGCGAGCGUUAAUCGGAAUUACUGGGCGUAAAGCGUACGCAGGCGGUCUGUUAAGUCAGAUGUGAAAUCCCCGGGCUUAACCCGGGAACUGCAUUUGAAACUGGCAGGCUAGAGUCUCGUAGAGGGGGGUAGAAUUCCAGGUGUAGCGGUGAAAUGCGUAGAGAUCUGGAGGAAUACCGGUGGCGAAGGCGACUGACUGGACAAGUAUUGACGCUGAGGUGCGAAAGCGUGGGGAGCAAACAGGAUUAGAUACCCCCGUAGUCCCUGUCCUUAUACA
rnacentral:rRNA from 1 species